rnacentral:tRNA from 1 species
GGAGGAGUACCCAAGUGGUCGAAGGGGACGGUUUGCUAAACCGUUAGCUCGGGGCAACCCGGGGCGAGAGUUCGAAUCUCUCCUCCUCCG